UACAGAGGGGGCAAGCGUUGUUCGGAAUUACUGGGCGUAAAGGGCGCGUAGGCGGCCUUCUAAGUCAGACGUGAAAUCCCCGGGCUCAACCCGGGAACUGCGUCUGAUACUGGAAGGCUUGAAUCCGGGAGAGGGAUGCGGAAUUCCAGGUGUAGCGGUGAAAUGCGUAGAUAUCGGGAGGAACAUCAGUGGCGAAGGCGGUCUGCUGGGCCGUUGCUGACGCUGAGGCGCGACAGCGUGGGGAGCAAACAGG
rnacentral:rRNA from 1 species